UACGGGGGGGGGCAAGCGUUGUUCGGAAUUACUGGGCGUAAAGGGCUCGUAGGUGGCCAACUAAGUCAGACGUGAAAUCCCUCGGCUUAACCGGGGAACUGCGUCUGAUACUGGAUGGCUUGAGUUUGGGAGAGGGACGCGGAAUUCCAGGUGUAGCGGUGAAAUGCGUAGAUAUCUGGAGGAACACCAGUUGCGAAGGCGGCUCUCUGGACCAGCACUGACACUGAGGCACGAAAGCGUGGGGAGCAAACAGG
rnacentral:rRNA from 1 species